rnacentral:lncRNA from 1 species
GCACGGGGAGCGGAGGUUACGAGCCCGCCGGCGAGGCGGAGCUGGGGCGCCCAGCCCUGCAGGACGCCGCCGACCCGACUGUUAGGGCUGCAGGGCGGGAAGGGGGAGAGCAACCACUUUUAGACGAACGCCUCCAACUCCGGGACGGGCUGAUUGAGGUCAGUCUCCGGUCGCCUCCCCCGUGGAGCAAGACCGAGCCCCCCAGACGCGGUGCCAAGGGCCUGGGGCGAGCGCUCAAGAGUGUCCCUGCGACUCCGACGGGUCCGGACGCAAGCCUGGCAACUUGUAGAGAUGCAUCAAUCGGUUUGAAACGGGAAAGAGGAAAAUAAUAAUAAUAAUAAUAAAAUGUAAAAAAAAGAGCGAGAGCGCAGGAGCGGGUGGCACCUCCCCGAUGACUACAUCAGAAAACCUUCUCGAUCCUCCUGCAGCAGCUGCUCCUCUUUUCCCUCCUCGGGCGCAGCAGCAACAAGAGGUGAAAAGCACCAACCGAAUCCUCAAACCUCUACCGGGCGGGAAAAUAAACUUGAGCAGCGGCGGCGGCGGCGGCAGCAGCACGAGCAGCCCGGGGAGGAUGGAAAUGACUGGCGAGAAGUGCAAAGAGACUUUCCAGGCGCUUCGGAAUGGUUUGGAAGCGUCCAGACGCCCUCCAGUGGUGGGCCUGAAGUCCGCACGCAGCGGGGGUACCGCCAGCAGCUCGGCCCGGGAUGGAGUGGGAUGGAGACCCUGGGGUCAAGAUGGAUAAAGACUGCAGGGAAAAGGAACGCGCACCUGGGCCUGGAAUUACCUGGAGGCAAUGAGCGCUUGCCUAAAAGCUGGGUCCCAUUCCUCGCUUCCAGAAAAUUUUCCUACCUGUGCUGGGGAAGGAACUCCUCUAUUUGCAACCAGGUGUAAGCUGCAACCUGCGUGAAGACAGACUCCGUGACAGACCACCCCGACAGACCAACAGCCCUGCUAAUUAAAAAAAAAAAAAAAGCAAAUUCAGAAUGUAUUAACACAACUACUUGUCUACCGCAAAAUUCCAGCAGUUAAGAAAGUUGGGAAACUGAAGCCAGGGAACUAAACGAUAAGCAAUUAUUUUUUAGACCAAAUUUUUCUUUAAAACUUUAUUUAAAAAAGAAUAAAACUUUUUUUAUUUUGCGCCCCCA